CACCGGCGUCCUGAGUGGGAAUCACUUAUUAGGUCUAAAGCGCUCGUAGUCGGCUUUGUAAAUUUCUUGUGAAAUCGUGUCGCUUAACGGCACGGCGUGCAGGAAACACUGCAGAGCUUGGGACUGGGAGGCGUCAGAAGUAUUCCUUAGGGAGCGGUAAAAUGUGAUAAUCUAAGGAGGACUACCUGUGGCGAAGGCGUCUGACGAGAACAGGUUCGACGAUCAGGAGCGAAGGCUAGGGGAGCAAACCGG
rnacentral:rRNA from 1 species